GCCAGAGCCAUAUCUCCCUGCAGUUCUCGCCUGGCUUCGCUAAGCAGAGUUGAGCCUGGCCUGUACCUCGAUGGGAGACCUCCUGGGGAAAACUAAGGUUGCUGCUGGAA
rnacentral:rRNA from 1 species